UUUUUUAAACAACCAAAAAGCCUCAAAUCAAAUUUCAUUUCUCUCUGUAUCUGAAACCAUCCCUGACCUGAAACAUGUCGUCCGACGGGAACGUCAACGGCGGCGCCGGCGCUGACUCCCUCCUCGUUACCAACAAACCUUUCUUCUGCUACCAAUGUAACCGUACUGUCACCGUCACUAUAGCGCCCUCCGAUCCCUCUUGUCCCAUAUGCCACGGUGGCUUCCUCGAAGAAUACGAAAACCCUAUCCCUAAUCAAGCUUCCAACUUCCGUAACCCGAAUCCAUUCUCCCACUCCUCCUCGUCGUUAUCAGAUCCGUUCUCUUCCAUCCUCCCCCUCCUUACGGCUAUGAAUUCUUCAUCAUCUCCUGCUUAUGUUGACCUUGAGAGCACAGGCUUAUUCGAGUCGACCGUGACAACUCGAGCUGACCCGUUCGCUUUCGAUCCGUUUACCUUCAUUCAGAAUCAUCUCAGCGAUCUUCGUUCAAGCGGGGCGCAAAUCGAGUUUGUGAUCCAGAACAGCCCAUCCGAGUCAGGCUUUCGGCUUCCGGCAAACCUCGGGGAUUAUUUCAUCGGCCCAGGGCUCGAGCAAUUGAUCCAACAGCUAGCCGAAAAUGAUCCGAACCGGUACGGGACCCCACCAGCAUCGAAGUCGGCCAUCGAUUCGCUACCAUCGGUGAAGAUAACAAAGGAUCACUUGAGUUCAAAGUCCAACCAGUGCGCAGUUUGCAUGGAUGAUUUCGAGGAAGGGAUUCAAGCGAAGCGGAUGCCCUGCAGGCAUCUUUAUCAUAAGGAUUGCAUAUUGCCGUGGCUGGAGCUUCAUAAUUCGUGCCCUGUGUGCCGUCACGAGUUGCCUACGGAUGACCCUGAUUACGAGAGGAGGGUUCGUGGGGCACAGGGGACUAAUGGAGGUAACGAUGGUGCUGAUACUGGUGGGAGUGGGCGGAGGUCUGCAGGGGAUAAUCAGACGGCGGAGAGGAGUUUUAGGAUAUCGCUGCCUUGGCCAUUUCAGGCUCGAGCGUCUGGCUCAGGAUCAGCUGAUAAUGCGGAGACCAGACAAGAAGAUUUGGAUUGAUGUUCCUUGAAAUCCAGCAAAACAUCAGCAUUUAUUUCGUGGGCACAUGAUGAUAAGAAACCUCUUUCAAAGUUGGGAAGCAGAGUUUUGUAUAAACAUGGAGAAUUGAGAUACACUUACUUUACUCUUUUCAUACAUUCUUUGGUCCCUGCCCAAUCCUCUUUCAUCCCAACUCUAUGCAGUUUUGUCUUGGAAGAGAUCAGUUUGCUUGGUCUGUUGUGAGACUCAAAGCCCUAUGUUGGAUAUUCAGUUUGAAGGUUGAUGACAUAUCGUGUUGGCUUUGAUAUCACAAAAACCUCGCCGUCGGCAGGUCUCCUUCGUCCCUUCUCAUUUGGUAUAACCUGGCUUUUGGUUAGCAGGUGCAUAUCGAAUUUCUUUGACGUGUUUAGCUCAGGGCUUUUGUUUUUUUCUUGUUUUUGGAGUCGUAUGACUUUUUUAAUAAUAUUCACACUAAUGAAAAUUCGGGGAAGAAAACAAUUGCGGAAAGCUUUUAUACUAAAAGUUAAAUUAUA